AGAUUGAACGCUGGCGGCAGGCCUAACACAUGCAAGUCGAGCGCCCGUAGCAAUACAUCACCGGCGGACGGGUGCGUAACGCGUGGGAAUGUACCUAUUGGUUCGGAACAACUGAGGGAAACUUCAGCUAAUACCGGAUGAGCCCGAAAGGGGAAAGAUUUCUCGCCAAUAGAUCAGCCCGCGUCCGAUUAGCUAGUUGGUGGGGUUAAAGCCUACCAAGGCGACGAUCGGUAGCUGUUCUGAGAGGAAGAUCAGCCACACUGGGACUGAGACACGGCCCAGACUCCUACGGGAGGCAGCAGUUGGGAAUCUUGGACAAUGGGGGAAACCCUGAUCCAGCCAUGCCGCGUGAGUGAUGAAGGCCUUCGGGUUGUAAAACUCUUUCGACGGGGACGAUAAGUGACGGUACCGUAGAAGAAGCUCCGGCUAACUUCGUGCCAGCAGCCGC
rnacentral:rRNA from 1 species